rnacentral:rRNA from 1 species
GACGAACGCUGGCGGCGUGCUUAACACAUGCAAGUCGAACGGAAAGGCCCUGCUUUUGUGGGGUGCUCGAGUGGCGAACGGGUGAGUAACACGUGAGUAACCUGCCCUUGACUUUGGGAUAACUUCAGGAAACUGGGGCUGAUACCGGAUAGGAGCUCCUGCGGCAUGGUGGGGGUUGGAAAGUUUCGGCGGUUGGGGAUGGACUCGCGGCUUAUCAGCUUGUUGGUGGGGUAGUGGCUUACCAAGGCUUUGACGGGUAGCCGGCCUGAGAGGGUGACCGGCCACAUUGGGACUGAGAUACGGCCCAGACUCCUACGGGAGGCAGCAGUGGGGAAUAUUGCACAAUGGGCGGAAGCCUGAUGCAGCAACGCCGCGUGCGGGAUGACGGCCUUCGGGUUGUAAACCGCUUUCGCCUGUGACGAAGCGUGAGUGACGGUAAUGGGUAAAGAAGCACCGGCUAACUACGUG